rnacentral:rRNA from 1 species
AUACGGAGGGUCCGAGCGUUAUCCGGAAUCACUGGGUUUAAAGGGUCCGUAGGCGGGAAUCUAAGUCAGUGGUGAAAUCUUGCAGCUCAACUGUAAAAUUGCCAUUGAUACUGGAUUUCUUGAAUUAGUGUGAAGUGGUUAGAAUGUGUAGUGUAGCGGUGAAAUGCAUAGAUAUUACACAGAAUACCAAUUGCGAAGGCAGAUCACUAACACUAUAUUGACGCUAAGGGACGAAAGCGUGGGGAGCGAACAGGAUUAGAAACCCCGGUAGUCC